UAUCAACCACGUAUAGAUAAUUGAAAUUAUGGAAAUAAUUGAACAUUUGUAUUGUGUAAGAUUGAACGGUCAAGGUCACUGACUCAUGUGCUCCCAAACGUGUGUUCGAAGGAAGCAGCAAGGUCAAUGUAACGGGGAAGUUGUUAGCUGCCGAUGACACAUUAGCCUAAAUUAAAGGGGGAUCACUGUGGCUUAAAAUGGCAGCUUUCAGAACAGCGAUAACAAGCACUCAGAGGGCCUUUUCUCGCUCUUGCAGCCCACUACUUCCAUCCCAAGCAAACGACUCGUUCACCAAGACUACAGAAAGACGAAUUAUGAAGCUUGCUAUAUUAGCAGUAGUUUUGGGAAUGUCCACUUCUUCCUUCUGCUCCAUGAAACUCUCCAAUGAAAAACAAAACUGUGAUUCCCUUAAAAGGAUUUUAAUCACAAUAUCACAUUCAAAAACAAAUGGUCACAAUACCAAUGCUGAUGAAGCAAAUGGCAAUCUUGUCUCUGUGGGGGUAAAGGAUUAGAAAGUGAAGUGAAAACUGGUGAUAAUGAAGAGUUAGAAGGAACACCUUUCGAUCACUGCCUGAACCAGUUCAGCUGAUGGAACAUAUUGACUUCAAUUUACAUGACUGAGACAACAGUUGGAUCAGGAACAGUUGAUAGCAGAUGAAGUCGUUGGCAACUUUUUAUAGGAGUCUGUCCUUCAGCUUUUAAACUCCAUGAAAGGAUAUGCUAAUCUGUUGAAGCCUUUCAACUUGCCUUGCUAUAGCUCCUUAUAUUUUGCAAUAAGUAACCCAAGAAGUCUUGUAAACUUUCUCACUGUCUAUUAAUAAGCAAUAGAAUGCAUAGUUACACUACUUCUGAAGCGUGUCAUUUCAGGGAAGCCAGUGUGUUAAAGGUGUGAUUUUUAACAGUGUUUUUUAAGCUCACAAAAUUUGUAGAAAUUUAAUUCUUUCUGUGAUACUUGAUGAUAUGUGUUAAGAAUGUCAAUAUAGAUAUACUUAGGCUGCAGAUCUAAAUGGCAAUGAAGUAAUAGAAGUUAUGUGGUUAGAAUCAUGGUCAUUGUGAACUGAAAUAAGGUAAAAUUUUAACUUUUAUUUACUGAUCAAAUUUUAAAUUUUGAAAAAGAUACCCGUCAAAUUUUGAUCAGGUAACUUUUGAUAAUAGAAGACACCUUUUGAAAGAAGUAUUGUAAUCUUCAGAAUAGUGAUUGAAAUCCAAUUUCAUCUCCAUAUUCUGAUUAAUAUUUUUGUGUCAUUUUGUGAAUAAAUUUAUGGAUUCAGAAUUUUGGAGAAGUAUGAAUGUGAAAGGGUCAACAUAUGAUUGUGAUACUAUUCCCUUGAUCUAUUUCUGUUCCUUGUUUAUGAUAUAAAGUGUUUUCAGAUUGAGGCAUUAUCUAUAAAAUGUUAAAUAACAUAUUUUUGAUCAGUAGUGGAAAAAAUUACUGCCAGUUAAUAUAUGUAUUGUCUGAGAAUCUUGCUUAGAUCAUUACACUAGAAGCAGAAAGUGGUCUCCUGUACAGAUCUAGAUAAACACAGAUAACAUAAAGUUAUAGUCUGCUUAGUUUUUAAAAAACUUCGACUAGUGUUUGAUAAAAUGUAUGAAGUUUGACUUCAUAUAUUAGAAAAUAGAUGGAUUGACAUAUCCUAUUGAUUUUACGUUUAAUUAACAAUUAUACUUUAAUAGAUGUAGUGAUAGGCCAGAAUGACCUGUCACAUAGAACUUUACAUGAGAUAUUCAUAUUGGGUAGUUCCCUUGCAUCAUGUCUUCCACAGCUAUUCAUUGUUUAUCAAUUAUAGCAUCUACUCUCUCUUUGUUGAGUUACAUAUUUCACAAUAAACUGGAUAUCUCUCUAAAUGCCUGAUUAAAGCUCCUUAUACUAUAUUUGUAUCACACACUGAUUCCCCUGUGAUCAUAAGUGGCCACUAUUUACCUGAAGUAAAGGUGCCACAUGACAGGUCAUUGUGCUGUUGUCAUAGCUAUCCUGCAAUUGGGCCAGUGGCAUAGGCCAACAUACAGAUUCUGACUCGAAGUUGGACAAUGUAUUUAUAUAUAUGUUGGUAAUAAUGUAAUAAUGGGUAUGUGUGGGUAUAUUACUGUAUAGAUAUAUGAUGCUGGUUUACAGACCUGAGUGAUAUGAUGAAACGUCUGUUCUGUUUAAGUGUUUUGUAUAUUGAAUCUGUUGUCUUUAAUGUUUUUCUGUUCUGUCGUAUAUGUUUGUUUUUAGUUAUAAUAGACGUGUAGUGCCCUGCAAAAAGUAAACAUCCAAGUGAUAUUUAUUAUAAUAUACUUUGUCCUAAUAUUUUUACCUAUUGCUUUUAUUAUAUUUAUGAUAACAUUUCAUCAUUGCUUAAGAGUGAAUCAGAUACAGAAGUUAUCUGAAAAUAAUUGCAAAUCAUUUCAUUUCCAUAUAUAUUCUCUAAUCAUUUUUGUGUAAAUGUUUUGAAUGCCAAAUUGAGGAGUUGAAAUGUACCAUAACAAAUGUAUACAAGUCGUAUUUAUUGUUUGUGAAUAAUAACUAAGCAAAUAGUUGAAUUUUAUCUACUACCACUGAUUUCUUUUAAAUAUUGCAAACAGUGAAAUGUGAUAUAAAUGUAUAUACAUUUACAAUGUCUAAAUCGAUUGGAUUCUUCUUAUGUUCCUGUCAAUGUUGUCUGGUCUGCCAAAUCUCAGCACAUGUUUGGAAGCUGACACGAACAAUGUUGCAUUUAGUAUAUGAUCUAUCUCUAGAGAGUGGUAAAUGUGGGACAGUAACCUCUGUGUCAUGUGAUUAUUAAGUUGAUGAUGUAGUUAAAACAUCCAUUAAAGGGCUUUUUUAGUUCAACAUCUACUUAACACCAGUGUAUCCAAGUUAAAUUACUGCCAUCCAUGUUUUGAACUUUCAAGCAAAUAUGAAGUAAAUUCUCCCAGUGGUACCCCUAAACAUGGAGUUCUGAAGUUGGAUAGAUGUUUUACAUUGAAUAGCCCUAUUGAUAUGCUACUCUUUUAGAUUUGUUUUGUUGUUGUUGAAUAAAAUUUAAACAUUA